rnacentral:rRNA from 1 species
GACGUAACGCUGGCGGCGUGCUUAACACAUGCAAGUCGAGCGGAGAUAGAAGCUUGCUUCUAUCUUAGUGGCAAACGGGUGAGUAACGCGUGGGUAACSUACCCUAAAGUGGGGGAUAACAGGUCGAAAGGUCUGCUAAUACCGCAUACCCUUCAAGUACGAAAGUAUUUGAAGGAAAGGAGUAAUCCGCUUAAGGAGGGGCSUGCGUCCUAUCAGGUAGUUGGUGAGGUAACGGCUCACCAAGCCUAUGACGGUUAGCUGGUCUGAGAGGAUGAUCAGUCACACUGGAACUGAGACACGGUCCAGACUCCUACGGGAGGCAGCAGUGGGGAAUAUUCCGCAAUGGGCGAAAGCCUGACGGAGCGACGCCGCGUGGAUGAUGAAGACCCUAUGGGUCGUAAAAUCCUUUUGUGAGGGAAGAAGAUCUGACGGUACCUCACGAAUAAGCCACGGCUAACUACGUGCCAGCAGCCGCGGUAAAACGUAGGUGGCAAGCGUUGUCCGGAAUUACUGGGCGUAAAGAGUGCGUAGGCUGUUUUGUAAGUCUUAGGUGAAAUCUAUCAGCUCAACUGAUAAACUGCUUAAGAUACUGCAUAACUUGAGGGCAGGAGAGGAGAGUGGAAUUCCCGGUGUAGCGGUGAAAUGCGUAGAUAUCGGGAGGAACACCAGUGGCGAAGGCGACUCUCUGGACUGUCCCUGACGCUGUGGCACGAAAGC